rnacentral:lncRNA from 1 species
UUAAGGGCAUCCGAUACAGUUUCAAGGGAGUUAACUCUUGGCGCGACGUUAAGCGUUUGAAUUCCCGCAAAACGUCACUUUUUGCGGGACGUAAUGUGUGUCAUUUUCCGUAAUACGAAACGUAAUGUGGAAUUUCCAUGCUCCAAUUUCUGUUUCCGCAUGCUAAUUUCUACGCCAUUAAUAUUAGUCAGUGCAUUUGAUAACAUAAUAAGAAAUAAAACAUAUUACUGUUUCUUUGAGAUCUUCAACAAAUAUCGUAUAGUGAGCAAUCUCAAGACGACUGACCCUUUUGGUGUUACUAAUAUCAUGCAUGUCAAUUAAAAUUUUAUUAUCAUGCAUCAUCCACGAUUUGGUCCGGAUCCGAUUUUUUUAUUACAGCACAGAAAACCAAUGAUAUUUAAAAACUAAUACCGAAAAUGUAUGUACACGAAGAAGUCAAUUUCCUUUCUGAAAAAUUUAUUUAAUUUAUUUAUGUAAACAAAAAAAUAAUGGUAUGCCGCUAAUACAAACAAUGAUACAACUUUCAUAAAAGAACAAAGUUUCUAUUUCCUCCACGUUGCACGUAGUUUAUCUAACAAAAGGCAAUAGCAAACAAUAUGUUUAUACACCCGUAAAAAUUUUUACGGGACGGGACGUAAAAUGGUAUAGAAAUGCCCGCGUCAGUCUGUCCGUCGUAAAUAUGGUACAGCAUAUUAUCAUUAAACUGAACAUGGUUGUUUUUUCAGUCAUGAUUGUCAAACGGUCUGUAUCAUUUUUGGUGAACUUUAUAAGUUAGAGGACUUUGUAACUAGAACAGUUUUUUUUUUACAGUUCGCGCUGCAUCUAGAAAACGUUUUAUGACUAUUGCUCUAAACUUUACGCACUUCUUAGUUAUAUAAUUCUGAAGAACUUGUAUAUACUUUUGAGAAUGAUUCAGAAUUUGAUUUUAGAGUUAUUGAGUUUAUGACAAAAAGGGGCUGGGGGUUCACAUGUCGCGCCGUAUCUCAGAAACUAUCUAUAAUAAUUGCAUAGAUAUUCACAUACUUUUUAGUUAAAUUAUUCUUAAGAUCUGUAUACUUUUUCGUGAUGAUUGUUUAAUUCAUUUUUGAGUUCUUGAAUUUUUAUUGAGCUUCAAUUUGGGGAUCAUAUAAAACAUGUUGUGAUAUAUAAACUUAUUAUUGAGCAAGAAUAAUGAAUGAGUCAGGAUAUACCUAGCAUGACUUCCGUACAACCCCCGUGUUAUUUUAAAAACAUAUAUUAUGUUAGGUUUUUUUUCAUGAGACGAAGGGCGUAUCAUGCGCUCGAAGCGCAGCUGUUUAUUUUUUCUUUAUUUUUUUUAUAGAUAUAUUAGAGAAAUGACGGAAUGACAGAAAAUACAAUGCAAUUUUCAAUAUAAUUAAUAUUUCCAAAUGGCAUAACUCUUUUAAAGAAUAGUUGAUAUGCACUGAUUUUCGAACGUGUCCAUACGAUAUCAGUUUUAUAGAAAGUUGGCAAGAAUUGUACACUUGAAAAAUCUAAUUAACCAGAAGUCCGGAAGGACAGAAAGGAGAAUGGACAUGCGGUAUUUUAUGUACGCGCUGUGGUGAAAAAAAGAUAUAGUUAUUUACCAAUAAAAUUACGCUAUGAGAGAAUGAUUUUAAUUACCACUAAUCGUGAUAUAUUCAGUCCUCUCGCUAUUAAUUCAAUCAUUUUUUUGCCAAAUCAAAAAUUUCAAAAUUAUAGUUUCUCUGUCUGGACAAAAGCAUCCAUUAGCAAAUUGAAGAUUCUCCUUUGUAAGAUUUUGCUUCUGUUUUCUGACCACAUAAAACAGAAGAUGUGGUAUAAUUGCCAAUUAGACAACUCUCAUCAAGAGACAAACAUGACACAGAAAUUAACAACUAUAGGUCUUCAACAAUGAGCAAAGCCCAUACCGCAUAGUCAGCUAUAAAAGGUCCCGAAAUGACAAGGUAAAACAACUUAAACGAGAAAAGUAACGGCAAAUUUGAUUACUGUCCAAACGACGCUAACUUUUUAAAAAUUCGUAUCAACAAAAACGGAUUUUCUCAGUGAUAAAAACAAACAAAACAAAACAAAAAACAACAUCUAGAGGUCAUCAUACAGUAUGAAAUAAUAAACGAGUGUGUACAGUAAAUGUACCUGUAUGUCAUGUUCUAAAUUGCCGAGUCUUAAAUUUUUGAAAGCCGUAAAAAUUAUCAACAGUCCGUAAUAACUUUUCUUGAGAAGUUUCUCACUUAGACCACAAACACAGAGAGGUAUUUGUUAUUCACAUGAUUUUACUUCCGAAAACAAUGUUACCAAUUUAUAGAUAGUACUUUACAAGUAAUAUUUAUACAUCUGAAAAAUGUCGCCGGUAAUUUGAAGCGAUAACGUCGAAAUUGUCUGCCAGCGACGUCGUGCACUUUAGCGCUAACGUUGAGGUUACAAAGGGGUGACGCAAUUUUUUAGGAUAAAUCGUGAUUAUCAUGGAAUCCAGCACGGUGACCUAUAUUUUUUAUUUGAGAUUUGGAGAAAGCAUGACAAAAUGCCGUUUAUGCAGAAAAAUGAUAAAAAUGACAUUUUCAGAAACAGUUUUUUUCCAUUUUUUUAGGUUUAGAAAAAUACCACUUUGAGCAUCUGGUCCGCAAUGUCAAGCAAGACUUGAAUAAUUUUAUAGUUAUUCGUAUAGUGAUUUAUUUUUUUCCUUAUUGCCACUUAUCACAGCUUCAGAUUGAACCCGAUCUUAAUAAUUUACGACGAAGAAUAUCUGCUCCAAAAAUUUUAUAACAUUGCCUAAUUUUUUUACAAAAUUGAACAAAUCCCCAAUUUUCAGCCUCAAUUUUCUCGAAAACAAGCACGGUGACCUAUGUUUUAUUUUGUGUUUUAUUUUAUAACUCGCCAAGGCCUACAACAUAUUUCAAUAUUAUAAAAAUGACAUUAUAUCGAGAAACUGUAUCGGAUGCCCUUAAUUCAAU